rnacentral:rRNA from 1 species
AACAGGGAUUGCCCUAGUACGGCGAGUGAAGCGGCAACAGCUCAAAUUUGAAAGCUAGCCUUCGGGUUCGCAUUGUAAUUUGUAGAGGAUGAUUUGGGGAAGCCGCCUGUCUAAGUUCCUUGGAACAGGACGUCAUAGAGGGUGAGAAUCCCGUAUGUGACAGGAAAUGGCACCCUAUGUAAAUCUCCUUCGACGAGUCGAGUUGUUUGGGAAUGCAGCUCUAAAUGGGAGGUAAAUUUCUUCUAAAGCUAAAUAUUGGCGAGAGACCGAUAGCGCACAAGUAGAGUGAUCGAAAGAUGAAAAGCACUUUGGAAAGAGAGUUAAAAAGCACGUGAAAUUGUUGAAAGGGAAGCGCUUGCAAUCAGACUUGUUUAAACUGUUCGGCCGGUCUUCUGACCGGUUUACUCAGUUUGGACAGGCCAGCAUCAGUUUCGGCGGCCGGAUAAAGGCUCUGGGAAUGUGGCCUCCACUUCGGUGGAGGUGUUAUAGCCCAGGGUGUAAUACGGCCAGCCGGGACUGAGGUCCGCGCUUCGGCUAGGAUGCUGGCGUAAUGGUUGU